AGCAGGGCCGCGCCUCAAGGUAUACGACGCGCCGACGCCGACAUCGCUGGCGUGGCGGAGAUCUCGCUGCCGAUCCAGGAUGUGCCCUGGGCGCACUUCCACCACCUCCCAGUACGCGUUGGAUGUGAACGUGGAGAGGGUGGAGGACAUGGUGACGCACCAGCGGCUGCUCGAGGAGGCUCGAUACCUGCAUCAUCGGCUUGCCUUGGCGGUGGGUGUCGUCCAGAUUGCAGUGAUACUAUCCAAGAUACAAAUAAAGGAUGGAGGCCAAGGGAGAUUGUGAUGUAGGAUGGUUGCAAAAUAAGAAGGUUUACAAUGUGUUGCAGCAACAUUUGUUAAAGAAGUCCUCUUCCAGCUCUAGACAAAUAUCUUUGGCGUGAUGCAAGGAUGGCAUCUACGCCUCACGACCUAUCGCUUUCUUGGGAAAAUGGAUUGAGAUUGAGAAAGGAAACAAAGAGCUCGUCUCAAGAAAGGUAUGGAUUUAGGUGCAGUUUAUGGACGCUUUAGAAAUUUUGUAGGCUGCUAGCCAUUUGACUGGUGUUUGGUUGAUAAAUUGUUAACUAAUUGAGUAGAUACUCACUAUCUUAGUUUGGUGAAAUUGAUUUAUAUUUAAUUUUUACAUGGUUCUCUCAUAUUCUUAAUUAACCUGGUGGUGGAUAAUGGCCUAUUGGUAUCUUGGUUUUAUGCCUAUGGGAUAUGGCAAGAGAUGAUGGUCUCAUGGAGCAUUGAUUUUACUUGAUGAUGAGGUAUUUCUUGCCUGUAUACAUUUGUAGCGAAGAAACAUUUUUUCUGGUUAUGAUAAUUAUACGUAUCAUGCAUUCAGUUUUACUCCAUGUUAUCGUUUAAUUUUGAUUCUGCAGAAGAUUUCAGUAGAACAUUGCUCUGCCGUGCUUGCAACAUCCUAAUAGACAUGUGGUUAGAACAGGGCAGCGCAUAUCGUCUCCCGGAUUAGAACAGGCAUGUGAGAAUUCUUGUGCCUCUAUUGUUUAUUUCUCAAUGUUGUUGUCAUACUAUGACAGCCAUGCAGUUUAUUGAUACCUUUGAAGAAUUAUUGAGGGAUUAUGCUAUGUAGUAGCCAAGAUGCAGCAGUCGAGGUAAUAAAUUUCAGGCUUUUGUAUUAUCCUCCCUGGCUUCCUCCUGAAUAACCACCCAACCGAUUUGGUUGUUCAUUUCCAUGACUGCACAGCCUGUUUGCGAUCCACAUUGGCCUCUGUCAAAAAGUUUAAGGUCUUGAACAAUGUAUGUGGUUCUGAAUAUACACUUGGGAGUCCACACAUAAUUAAAUCAUCUGGGAAUGAUGGGUUAUACUUCCUCAUUAAGCUUGCGUAAUGUUAGGAUAUGCAUCCACAAGAAAGGACCAUGAGCUCUAAGUAAAAUCAACACUAAAAUAGGCAGCUAUUCCGAGAACUGAUUUACAUGACUUAUUUUUCCCUUUGUUGUAGAUCUGCUCUUAUUAUUUUCCGUAUAUUCUAUUGAUAAUUUUGUCUACUAAAAAGGUGGGUACUCGUUAAGCAUGUCGUGGCUGAGUGUGUUUGUUCUAAAUUAUGAAUAACCAUAUAAAAUGUGUGACUCCGUCAGUUAUCAUCAUGACACAUGCCUUGAUCCUUCAAGAUUUUCCAUUUCUCUUUCCAUGAGUGAAUGCAUUAUAGAAAUGGCACAUUGAUUGAUUCAUUUUCUAAUGUAGUACCACAUUUAUACACAAGCAGAAAUCCUUAAUUUGGCACACGAGAAGGUUAAGAAGACCUGCAAAUUACGAUUACAGUACAGUUUUAUAUCCCAAUUAGUUGACCAUGCUCUUUUCUGUUUUAUUUGCUGAUGCAACCUACGAUAAGUUUAGUCAAGAUAUCUAUGGUCUCCUAGAUUGCCGAUGUGAGUUUGCUAUUCAGAAAUUUAUAUUUUUUGAUACUAACAAAGAAUCCAGUUGAUGUGUCCAUAGUUUUGUUUCUCUUAGCUAGGAUCUAGAUAAUGUAAAAAUACAAAUCAUUUA